UCGGGAAUUUUGGGCAAUGGGCGAAAGCCUGACCCAGCAACGCCGCGUGAGGGAUGAAGUAUUUCGGUAUGUAAACCUCGAAAGAAUGGGAAGAAUAAAUGACGGUACCAUUUAUAAGCUCCGGCUAACUACGUGCCAGCAGCCGCGGUAAUACGUAGGGAGCAAGCGUUGUUCGGAUUUACUGGGCGUAAAGGGCGCGGAGGCGGCGCGGUAAGUCACUUGUGAAAUCUCUGAGCUUAACUCAGAACGGCCAAGUGAUACUGCUGUGCUAGAGUGCGGAAGAGGCAACCGGAAUUCUUGGUGUAGCGGUGAAAUGCGUAGAUAUCAAGAGGAACACCUGAGGCGAAGGCGGGUUGCUGGGCCGACACUGACGCCGAUGCGCGAAAGCCAGGGGAGCAAACG
rnacentral:rRNA from 1 species